UUCCGGCAGAGAGAUCCCGAUGUUUUUUUCCUGCGCUGCUCCGUCGUUGUGGAAAGAGGCUGCAGCCAGCUCAGCAAAACCCCGACCAAAAGUCAAAGGGCCCUCUGAAUAGAAGGAUCUGAGAGGACACCGGAAUAGUGCCGUCUGACACGUCAGUUCCUCAGAAAUGUUUGUCCUCCCUCAGAAAUGUUUGUCCUGCCUGGCUCCCCUCAGGGACAGAAAAUAUCAGUUUUCUCUCUUCAUCUCCGUCACUUGUGAAAAAAAUAAAUGCCUCGAACCAGGCCCAGAGGAUUGUGCCCUUAGUUGUUCUCCACAGUGCCGGUUAUUGGGUGACGGAAUGCUUGCCAAAUGGUAAAUAAAUCUGUCCACAGCUUUUG